GGGCGCCAGAUGACGAGCUACGGAGGACCGUGGUGGCAGAUGAGCAUCCGCCGAAAAUCCACCAACAAGCAGCAAUGUCAAUAGGCGUCACUGCCAAAAUACU